GGAGAGAUGUCCGAGCUGGCCGAAGGAGCACGACUGGAAAUCGUGUGCACCCCAAAAGGGUGCCGUGGGUUCAAAUCCCACUCUCUCCGCCA
rnacentral:tRNA from 1 species